UUUUACGCUUAACAAUCGAUUGUCCAAGAUCAACAAUCGAUUUUUGGCAACGUUUAAAAAAUCAUUUCCAGAUUUUACGUAAAACAAUCGAUUAUACCAAAUCAAUAAUCGAUUAUUCAGCAACGUUUAAAAAAUCCUUUCUAGAUUUUAAUUUCAACAAUCGAUUGUACAAAAUCAACAAUCGAUUAUUCAGCAACGUUCAAAAAAUCUUUUUCAGAUCUAAAUAUCAACAAUCGAUUGUACAAAAUAAACAAUCGAUUGCCUGACGGUAUUUGAAAACUUUACGACAAUGGUCAGCUUCACAAUC
rnacentral:lncRNA from 1 species